rnacentral:rRNA from 1 species
CGAACCCGGAUUUAGAUACCCCGGGUAGUCCAGGCUGUAAACGAUGCGGGCUAGGUGUUCGCGAUAGCCAUGAGCUAUCGCGGUGCCCGGAGGGAAAGCCGUUAAGCCCGCCCCCUGGGAAGUACGGCCGCAAGGCUGAAACUUAACUGAAUUGNCGGGGGAGCACUACAACGGGUGGAGCCUGCGGUUUAAUUGGAUUCAACGCCGGGAAGCUUACCGGGGGAGACAGCGGGAUGAAGGUCGGGCUGAAGACCCUACCAGACUAGCUGAGAGGUGGUGCAUGGCCGCCGUCAGUUCGUACUGUGAAGCAUCCUGUUAAGUCAGGCAACGAGCGAGACCCGCGCCCUCAGUUGCCAGCGGAUCGCUUUUGCGAUGCCGGGCACACUGGGGGGACUGCCGGCGCUAAGCCGGAGGAAGGUGCGGGCAACGGCAGGUCCGUAUGCCCCGAAUCCCCCGGGCUACACGCAGGCUACAAUGGACGGGACAAUGGGUACCGACCCCGAAAGGGAUAGGUAAUCUCCUAAACCCGGUCUAACCUGGGAUCGAGGGCUGCAACUCGCCCUCGUGAACCUCUAUCCGUAGUAAUA